rnacentral:rRNA from 1 species
AACGAACGCUGGCGGCGUGCCUAACACAUGCAAGUCGUGCGAGAAAGUUUCCUUCGGGGAGCGAGUAAAGCGGCGCACGGGUGAGUAACACGUAGGUAACCUACCUUUCAGUCCGGAAUAACCAGCUGAAAAGCUGGCUAAUGCCGGGUAAGACCACGAUCUCUGCGGGGAUCGCGGCCAAAGGCGGCCUCUUCAUGAAAGCUGAUGCUGAGAGAUGGGGCCUGCGUACCAUUAGCUAGUUGGUGAGGUAACGGCUCACCAAGGCUUUGAUGGUUAGCUGGUCUGAGAGGAUGACCAGCCACACUGGGACUGAGACACGGCCCAGACUCCUACGGGAGGCAGCAGUGGGGAAUAUUGCGCAAUGGGGAAACCCUGACGCAGCGACGCCGCG